GGAUGUGAAGGCAACCCGGCUAUAACAUCUCUCACCCCACUGAUUUCCAGGGUUGAUUUGGAUGCUCUGUCUGGCUUGGCUGGCUAGCCACAUGUCCCCUUCCUCCCUCACCACUCCAUGUGCAUCCCUCCUGAAAUGUGCACUCAGUCUAAGAGAAUGGUCUUCUCCCAUAGAGGAGAACUACUCUUCAAUCAAGGGUAUGUGAGUAUUUGUAUCCCCCUGCUAGAACCUCUAAACAAGCUCUCAGAAAUAAAAGUAGGGCUGGAGAGAUGGCUCAGUGGUUAAGAACAUUUGUGUGCAAUCAU
rnacentral:snRNA from 1 species